UCGUCUUUUGGCCACAUCCAUAAAAGAUAAUGCCUGCCCAGUGAUAAAAUUUAAACGGCCGCGUUAGCGUGAGCGUGCUAAGGUAGCGUAAUAAUUAGCCUCUUAAUUGGAGGCCAGUGAAUGGCAACACUAGGAAUAGCUGUACUUUGUAUGUGAAAAAAACUUUUCAUCUAAGUGAAAAGACUUGGAUAAUAAAGGAAGACGAAAAGACCCCGCGGAACUUUACCUUUUCUUAUACUUCUGUACACAAACUUAAAAGUUUAUAAGGUUUGAUUGGGGCAAUCUUGGAACCAAUAAAGCUUCCAACUCUAUAAUAAGUUAUAUAAAAUUUGCUAAGGACUAAAAAGUAGUUACCCCGGGGAUAACAGCGUAAUCCAACUAGAGAGUACACAUCGAAAGUUGGGUUUGCGACCUCGAUGUUGGCUUAAGGAUAUCCGCAUAAGUGAAGCCGCUAUGACAGGAUAGUCUGUUCGACUAUUAUACCCUU
rnacentral:rRNA from 1 species